GUCUUUUUGAUUAUAAUUUAAAGUCUAACCUGCCCACUGAAUAUUUUGAAGGGCCGCGGUAUUUUGACUGUGCAAAGGUAGCAUAAUCAUUAGUCUUUUAAUUGGAGGCUUGUAUGAAUGGUUGGAUGAGGUAUUAACUGUCUCAAUUUAAUAAAUAAUAGAAUUUUAUUUUUAAGUUAAAAAGCUUAAAUUUUAUUAAAAGACGAGAAGACCCUAUAGAUCUUUAUAAUUAAUUUUAUAAUAAUUUUUUAGAUUAAAUUUAUUUUUAUAAGAUAAAUUAUUAUAUUGGGGUGAUAAAAAAAUUUAUAAAACUUUUUUUAUAUUAAAACAAUGAUAUUUGAUUAAUUGAUCUAUUUUUUGUGAUUAUAAGAUUAAGUUACCUUAGGGAUAACAGCGUAAUUUUUUUGGAGAGUUCAUAUCGAUAAAAAAGAUUGCGACCUCGAUGUUGAAUUAAAGGUUAAUUUUAGGUGUAGAAGUUUAAAAUUUUGGUCUGUUCGACCAUUAAAUC
rnacentral:rRNA from 1 species